rnacentral:lncRNA from 1 species
UGAGUUUGGAAUGAGCUAAGCCUUUCGCAAGAUACAAGAACCGAGAAAAUAAAGGGUAAAUAAUAAAGCUGUCCAAAUGAGCCGAGUGAGUAAAGGAUAAUCGUUUGCAACUGAACAUGUUUUUUCUUGUGUGCAGCAGUGGAAGGUCAUGGCAAGAACAGACUUGGAGGGAGAAGGAGCCAGAAGGGUUUCCUCUGAAAUCUGAAUCAAGUCUGAGGAAGCAGAGACGGCGAAGUGAGGUGAGCCGAGUUCAGAGCACCUCUUCUCGUUGCUUCCCGUCCUUCCUCCUCGGAGGAAACGUGAGAAGACUUCUGCUAACCACCAUGGCUCCGUCAGCUUGCGGCGUCCCGCGGCGCGGCCUCGAAUCGAAGAGAAGAUGCUGUGUUGCUUUAAAGGGGAGACGGGGAGUGGGAGACGUCCCAUGUCAUGCCCUCCACGCUUGGGCUGGAUUCCUGGUGGGUUGCUGGGGACAUGAGGAAAGUGUUCGGCGCAGCUUCGUAACGGCACAUAUCCUUGCAGAAAGAGCACACGGUUCCUCUGAGUCUGAGACCGCGAGACGUGCCAAGGACACAUGUGUGUUCUCGCUUUCUGUUGCCUGCAUGUCCAAUGUGUUUUUGCUCAG